AUUAUUGCACAAUGGGGGGAACUCUGAUGCAGCAACGCCGCGUGAGUGAAGAAGGUUUUCGGAUCGUAAUACUCUGUCAUUGGGGAAGAAUAAGUGACGGUACUCAAUGAUGAAUCCCCGGCUAACUACGUCCCAACAGCCGCGGUAAUACGUAGGGGGCGAGCGUUGUCCGGAAUUACUGGGCGUAAAGGGUACGUAGGCGGCUAUAUAAGUCAGAUGUGAAAUACCAGUGCUUAACACUGGAAUUGCAUUUGAAACUGUGUAGCUUGAGUGCAGGGGAGGAAAGUGGAAUUCCUAGUGUAGCGGUGAAAUGCGUAGAGAUUAGGAGGAACACCAGUGGCGAAGGCGACUUUCUGGACUGUAACUGACGCUGAGGUACGAAAGCGUGGGUAGCGAACA
rnacentral:rRNA from 1 species